rnacentral:rRNA from 1 species
UACAGAGGGUGCAAGCGUUGUUCGGAAUUAUUGGGCGUAAAGGGCGUGUAGGCGGUUUGCUAAGUCAUGUGUGAAAUCCCCCGGCUUAACCGAGGAACGACGCAUGAUACUGGCAAGCUAGAGUACCAAAGAGGGGGGUGGAAUUCCCGGUGUAGCGGUGAAAUGCGUAGAUAUUCGCAAGAACACCAGUGGCGAAGGCGGCUGACUGGUCCGGUUCUGACGCUGAGGCGCGAAAGCGUGGGGAGCAAACAGG